ensembl:lncRNA RFPL3S RFPL3 antisense
AGUAACAUGUCAUUAGUUCUCUGCAUUGCAAAAAGAUUAACCAGGCUCUUCUCUGAUAGAAAUUUUAAGAAGAUAUAGCCUCUACACCAAGAGGCACAUGACACAACCUGGACUCUGGGCAAACCACCGGGUGCACUCACAUGAAGUGGCGGCUUAUUUGGCCUCCCCAGGACGGACUGGAGCAUCAGUAGUGCCUGAGUUCAUCAAAGGACAGAUGCUCAAGACACCUUGAUCACCAUUAGGUGGAAUUGAAGGAGCCAAAAAUGGGCGCAGUGGCUCCUCAGCAGAGACGCUCCUGAAUGUAUAGACAUGGGAACCACUUUCAGCAUCAAAA